GAUGAACGCUGGCGGCGUGCCUAAUACAUGCAAGUCGAGCGAAUGGAUUAAGAGCUUGCUCUUAUGAAGUUAGCGGCGGACGGGUGAGUAACACGUGGGUAACCUGCCAUAAGACUGGGAUAACUCCGGGAAACCGGGGCUAAUACCGGAUAACAUUUUGAACCGCAUGUUUCGAAAUUGAAAGGCGGCUUCGGCUGUCACCUAUGGAUGGACCCGCGUCGCAUUAGCUAGUUGGUGAGGUAACGGCCCACCAAGGCAACGAUGCGUAGCCGACCUGAGAGGGUGAUCGGCCACACUGGGACUGAGACACGGCCCAGACUCCUACGGGAGGCAGCAGUAGGGAAUCUUCCGCAAUGGACGAAAGUCUGACGGAGCAACGCCGCGUGAGUGAUGAAGGCUUUCGGGUCGUAAAACUCUGUUGUUAGGGAAGAACAAGUGCUAGUUGAAUAAGCUGGCACCUUGACGGUACCUAACCAGAAAGCCACGGCUAACUACGUGCCAGCCGCCGCAGUAA
rnacentral:rRNA from 1 species